CCCCCCCCCCCCCCCCCCCCUUGCUCUUAUAACCUUCCUCUGUUCAACUGAACUCCUGGAGCUCAGCCCAAUGCUUGGCUGUGGGUCUCUGCAUCUGCUUCCAUCAGUCACUGGAUGUAAGUUCUAUGACAGUUAGGGUAGUCACCAAUCUGAGUGCAGGGCAAGACUAGUUCAAGCAUCCUCUCUCUAGCAGGCCACAAGAAUAUAUUAUAGAGAUUCAGCUGUAUAUUUGAGCUAUACCUAGAAAAUUCAAGGCAUUUUUCUAGAGGAAGCCAUUUAUCAAAGGGAUAUUUGGUGUUAUUCAGUUUUUAAUAUUUCAGUUGUCUUCUGCUAUGAAAUUCUUGUACGUCCAUAUACUACCAGGCCAUGGCAAAGACACUGAUCCACUAGGUAACUAACCCCUCCUCCCCAACAGAGCCUAGGAGACAGGCAGGUUAUAGAUGCAUAGCUUUGUUUCUUGUGCAAAUGAAGCUCAGACCAUCCCUUGCCUUCAGGCCUAGUGGCAUUCCAGAGCAAUGGACUCAGGACAAUAGGGCUUUUUGCAUAACCAGGUACAGUAAGGACUGGAGUGGAAUUCCAGAGGUAGGCAGAGAGGAGAGAAAGAACAAGGCAGUUUUCUGUAGAUGGUAGACAGAACUUCAUGGCCAGAGAGAAGAGAGAGAGGCAGAGAUUCUGUAGAUGGUUAGGAAGGUCUCUUGUAGAGUUUUCUCAGAGCCAGGAGUAAGGAGCUAGGAAGGAAAGACGGAGGAUGAAGGAACAGGGGACGAAGAUGAGAUCAAGAGUGUAAGGGCUUAGUUAUUACUAGGCUGUGAGGGGACAGAAAAAGGAGGUACAGAGAGGAACUGAGAGUCAGGACGGAAUUGAAGCUCUAUAGAUAGAAUUUUGUCUUAGAGAAAUAAAGUAAUGGAUGAAAGAACGUCGUGUACACCUCAGAUUCUUUUCCUUCAGGUAACCCCACUCCAGAUGUAGCCUCUGCCCCAGGACUUUGGGAAGAAUCUUCUUAGGGCAGGCCCUUGGGAAAAUUCUGUCACCUCUCCACCAUUGCUAGGAGUCUUAGCUGGGGACAGUCUUGUGAGUUCCUGGGGUUUUCCCUAGCUGCAGAUUUCUCCCCAUCCCCUUAACGGUACACUCUGUCAAGAUAUCUCCUUCAUUGCUCGCCCUCCCUGUCUCUCCUCCAUAUCAGCCAUUUCAAGCCCUCAUGUUCCCACUUCCUAUACCCUUCCCUCUAUUCCCCCCUCCCAGUUUACCCAGGAGAUCUUAACCCUUUCCUCUUCCUGGGGUGACCCAUGUGUGCCCCUCUUAGUGUCCUCUUUACCUAGCUUCUCUGGGGUUGUGGAUUGUAGCCUGGCUAUCCUUUGCUUUGCGUAAUACUCCAUGGUGUAAAUGGACCACAUUUUCUUUAUCCAUUCUUCGGCUGAACCUCCGUCUCAUCUAUGAACUGUUGGAGCAUGGGAAGGCAACAAACCUGUAGAUCCAAAACUGCAGGAUCUCCACAGCACAGGACGACGGAGGGGAAGCCCUGUGAGAACCCAGUGUUGAUGGUGACAGAGGACGGAGGCCAGGCCAACGACUGUUGGCAAUGAGCACAAAUGAAGGUUGCUCUUGGUCAGAGUGCUCUGCCGUAACGACAGAAUCAAACUAGGAUGGGGUGCUUGCUGUGUCCUCACGGGGUCUGAGCUGGGAUCUCAGCGCUGAUGGAAAAAGCCAGGCCUGGCUGCGAAUGCUCGUGACCCCAGUGCUGCAGAGGGUGGAGACAGGAAGAUCGCUGGGGCUUGCUGCCUUCCAGCCUAGCUCCAGGUUCAGUGAAGACCCCAUCUCAAGGGAAUAAGGUGGACAGAGCAGGCCACCCACGGCCCUGCCUGGUCUCUCCCUGCGCUCGUCAGCACACUUGCACAUAUACCACACCUGUGCACCAUAUGCACAGACAUACAAAGCGGGGCGUGUCUGGAUCUCACGGCUCUGAGGAGUUAGAACAUGGUGGACACUGACCGUGGGGUCUCUACAGCCAAGCAAGUGCCACAGACGGGGUGCCACCUACAUGAUGUGUUCCAGAGUGCUGUCAAGAAUUACAAAGUAGGACUGAAUGCUUUGCUCCUAAGGUGAUUGCCUGGCAAGGUCUUUGUAAUAUGAACUUCAACAAGUAUGCAAAUUAGAGUUAGUUAAUUGCUUACGUGACUUUGGGCACAUGCUUGAAUUCACCCUUUUAUAAAUUGGGGCUAAUAAAAGCAACUGCCAGAUGAGUUUUUUGAAGUGUCCCGGAAGUAUCAUUUAUUCUCAGCUUGAAGAUGGGCUUCUUUUAUUGUACUGGGUUUUCCCGAGGCAGGGUUUCUCAGUGGACUCAGACCUGUUUCUGCCUGGCUGCCGUGACAGUCACCUGUGGGAGCUCCUGUACCCACCUCUUCCUGAAUCUGUAGACGCCAUUCCUAGACUCUGCCCAAAGUGCUGGUGAGCCAGCAUCUCAUGUAUGACCUUCAGUUUAUAAGGUGGGACCGACCGCAGCCUCUGCCUCUGGCUUCUUUGUCUCUCAGAACAUUCUGAGGGUCCCGGUGCUGGCAGGCUUCUGUUGCCAGUGACCCACUCAGCACGCCGUUCUCAUUUUCCCUGUCUCCUUUGGUCAGUCCCUUUCUGCUCCUCCUCCCUGGCCUCAGCACACACAUAGAUGACUUGGUGCUGAACUCUUGUCUCUUGGCUGGUUCUAGAAAACCAAGCCAAGACAGUCUUCUUUACUCUUCCUUAGACAAUGCUGAGCUGUGAACUCAUGUCAAGAGUUAGCAUUUCCAAAGACUAAAAUUGGACGGUUAAACAUAUUUUAUGUGUAUGUACCUGCGUGUGAGUGUAUUACUGCACCAUGUCUGCAGGUAAGAACAGGGUGUUGGAUCCCCUGGAACUGGAGUCACAGACAGAUGUGAGCCACUGUGUUGGUGCUGGGAAAUGAAUCUGGGUCCCUAGAUCAGCCAGGGAUCCUAAACACUGAGCCUUCUCUCCAGCAUUUUAUGAGCACUAUGAAAGCCCCGUGAGAGGUAGUGACGGGGAAGGUUCCUCUGUUGUUUCUUUGAGAAAGGUCUACCCACAGUGGUUGGGGAUGUCAAAAUUUGGGAGUUAAGUGUCCAGGAAGUGCCAGUACUCUCCAGAGCCAAGCUUCAGAGUGAGGAGAGCAUGCAGGUGUCACCACACAAGUGUCCUGCCCUGACUCUGGAGCAGCACUGUAUCCCCCAGGGGACAAGGACCACACCCAAGAAAAAUUCCUAAGGACACUGCAUUUUGAUGGGGUGGUUCCAGAGCCCGCCAAGGCUGCUGUGGAGAUGGGGCAUGACUGUGGGGUUCUCAUCCAACAGACACCCUUUCACUGGGUCUUGAAGGAAGGGGAAGGACAGAUAGUUUAGAUGGGAACCUUUCAGAAUUUCGCCUGCUAAUUCAAUUUGACAAACUAUUAAGUGGUCAUAUACAGGAUCUGUAUGUUGUCACCCCAUCCGCUCUGGUGACUUGGAGGCUCCAGGCUGAUCUGCUUGCACUUGACUUUUGAAGCAAGUGGAAUAUAUUUUCUAAGACGUUGGAAGUCCGUGUGGUCCCCCCCGCCCCCCAAUGGCCGUGGUUUAAGUUGUUAGAUCCACACUCCUGCCUGGAGUAGCGGACUGAUGGGGAACAGAGAUGUGUAUCUUUCUAUUUCUGCAUUUGCCCAUGCCCUGUGCCAAGGGUCCAUUUGAUCCCUGGGACUGUGCAGUUUUGUUUCUAAAGUGGACAGAAGUGUCUCUGAAUGCACACAUCUUUAAAAUGGAGGACAGAGGGCCAGUUGAAUCUGCAGAUGGAGCAAUUUGAUUUUUCUGAACACAAACUGACAGCCAAUCACCGAGCUGCCAGCUGUGCGGGCAGGACCAGCCACUUCCCACUCGACAGAUGAAGUGGAGCGAAAUUCUUCAACACAAAUUCUUUAGCUUCUCUGGGGACAUUGGCAACUAGGAGGCCGAACCUCAGAUUUCUUCGGCCUUGGCCUUCUUUGUGGAUAUUUGGAGUUCAGGACUCUAGUGUGGUUAAAUCUCAUCUGGGGUGAGGGAGGGAGAGGGGGUAGAAUGGAGGAGCACUAGGAAAUAAAAAGUUAUUAUUUCAUCCAAAAUGUGAAGCCCCAUGCCAGAACCCAGCCCAGCCCAAAGGGGCUGCAGCUGUGGCUGUGUGUGUAUGUGUGGUAGGUAGGUAAUCCGGACAUCACCACUGCAUGUGAUGAACCGUCAAUCUUACCUUUGGGACCUCAGGGAGAAGAAAAGAUGACCACUGCAUAGAAGGUCAUGGGUGAGUGCUUUCUAAAAAUUGCUUUCUUUUGGCAUGGAGUCUAAAUUGCCAACACAAAAUUUUGAACCCGUGGAAAUUGGUGCCAGUAUCUGGAGACUUCCUCCUGUCCACAGCAGCUUCAGGUGUAACUGUCUUUGCAUGAUGUUGUGCCCAAAGCUUUGCUACCUGGUAGCAGACCCUGGUCAAGGCUGCCUGGGUUCACGUCCCAGCCCCACACAGGUCUUGAGCCUGUCUUCUGAUGACCUGCUUUCACCUAACAGGUGACAACCUGAAAAAGCAAACACACUGGAAAGCGCUCUGCCCCAGCGUGGCUUAUUACGAUGGAUGGCUAAAUGUUAGCUCAGCUCAGGGCGCUGUCUCUUCAGAUAAUCCGGCAAACUCGUUUGUCUUCUGCCCGCCCACUCCUUGGCCAGCGUUUGACAGACACUGACUAGCCUCUGCAUAAACAGGCUUUGGGAUUCCCCAACCUCAUUCUGUCUUAAAGUCAUACAUUGAUUUUCAUUUCCUUCAGUCGGGCCCACCUGUACCAGGAUGCUGGGUGUGGCCCUGCCGCACUUUUCGGAUCUGCCCACUAGGUGGCGAUAGAACUUCAUCAAGGGGUUCUUAGCCCCAGGCCUAGGUAGGUUUAAAAAAGCAUGGCCGAGGCCGCCCAGACAGCUAGGGUGGGUGCGCCUACGAAUACUUCUUAGCAGAGUUGCUUGUCACAGGCUGCCAGAGUUAGACCCCAGGAGGGCUUCCUGAAAUGAAGGCAGGACAGGGAAAGCUAGAGACCCGGCCUGGGCAUGGGGCGGGGCAGAGGGCGUGGCUCGGGCUGCUCGACGUCCACCGGAAGCAGGAGGCCUCUGUGGCGGCGGGACAUCUGCUGUCCAGGCACCCUUAGGAAUGAAUGCCUGCAAAGGCUGCGGAAGGCCCAGCUUGAUCCAUCGCUCGGAGCUCAUCACCUCUCCUAGGCCCGGGUGUUCUGGAAGCAGGCUAUGAACAGAUGAUGACGGCUCCCCCAGCUUCCCGAACCCUUCCCUUCAGCUAAGCUGUUCCAGGCCAGGGAACUAGACCCUUACUCUGUUGCAGCAUGACCUUCAGCUGGCCUCUGCCAAGCUCUUUGGGGAACCAGGGACACCGGCCACCAGCACUGUGGGCCCCUGCUCGGAGGCUAUUCAGCCACAGCCUUACUGGCCUUUCCACUGGGUCCUUGGAAAUGAUGACAGUGGCGGGUAGAGGUGUUGUGCACCGGAGAGGCUGAGUCUGGUGGGACUCCAAGACUGACUCCACACAGGCUGUCCUGGACUCAGGUCUGUGCCAUGGUCUUGUGUCUCUGGCCCGCCGGCAGACCUGCUUGUCAAGCCACACCUGCCAGGCUGGAUUUUCUUCUUCAGCAGAUGACUCUUUUGUCUCCUGCAGUCAGGCACUCUGCUUCCUCACAGUAACCCUCACUCCCUAGCAACCCCUUAUUGGGUUGGUUGUGUAGUGGGUUUGUCUGAAAUGUCAACACACUUGUUUUGUAAUGAUAUUGGGGGAUGCUUUCCUCUACAAGGACCUUAGUAUUAAAACUCGCCCGGGACCUGAAGUCUGUGCAGAGCCGUCAUGGGACUCCAGGGACUAAGCACCAGGCUAGAGGGUUGGCGAGCUGGCACCUCUGAAGCUGAGGGCCACUGGGGACGCCUAGGGAGCUGCUCUGUGUGGGGGGACUUGGGCAGUUCCCACCAGGAAGCUCCCUGCUCUUCCCGAGGCACAACAACAGAAGGCCAUGCUUGAAGCCAGCAGGCAGGAGGCAGUCUGCUGGUGUGACUUAUGAGAGAUGAGGCUCAGAGAGGUUCAGAUUCCUGCCCAGAGCCACACAGCAAGGAAGAGAAGUCAGACUUUUUUUUUUUAAUCAUAACUUGCAAAAUUCUGUCUGCAAAUAGUAUCCUAAGGGCUAGGAGUACAGUGUUCAUGUAACUAGUCAGUCCAACGAUAUUGCUGGACACUUAAUGCAGGCUAGAGGCACAGGACAGAGCUCAAGGGGAUGGCCAGGCCAUGUGACAUCCAUGCAGAGUGUCAGGGUGACCCAAAGGAGAGGCCUACAUCCUGGGCAGAAGUCAGCACCAUGAUGAUGCCCUUAUUAGCUACUUGUCCUGGGAAGCAGCACUCCUCGCUUUUGAGACAGAGAUUUAGAGAGACUCUGAAUGUUCCGAUCUGGAAGUCUUCUUGGGCAGAGGCCUUUUAACCUCUUCCUUUAAAAUAAAAAAAUCCCUGUUCAUCAUGGGACAUUCCAAACACGAAUCAGUGUGGUAAGAGCAGGGUCUUCUUGCCGGGUCCCACAUUCCAGUCACGGGCUCCGCUAUUGCCAGCCCAGGGCCGACUUCCUCCCAGCUUUGCCCCUCUCUCUUUUGCCCCUGGACUGUUUCCAAGCAGAUCGCUCACAUCCUGUCAUUUCAUCCAUAAAUAUUUCAGCACACAGCUGAGGAUAAUGCGGCACUGUAAGAAAAAAUCAGAAUCCAAUGAUCACACAUAGAACAGCAGCGUUAAUUCCAGCCAGUAUUCAAUUACCUUUUCCUCUUUUUGAGAUUUAUUAUUUUUUAUGUGGUGUAUUACCUGCCUGUAUGCCCGUGUGAGGGUGCCAGAUCCCCUCAGCUGUGAACUGCCGUGUGGGUGCUGGGAAUUAAACCCAGGUCCUCGGGAAGAGCAGCUAGUGCUCUCAACCAAUGACCCAUCUCUCCAACACUCUCCUCCUCCUCCUCCUCCUCCUCCUCCUCCUCCUCCUCUUCCUCCUCCUCCUUCCCCUCCUCCUCCUUGGUCCAAGCUGGGAUCGAAACAAGCGUCACAUGUAGUACUGUAUUCUCUCCCUCUUUUUUCCCCUUGUAAUAAUUUGUUCAGGAAACCUGGUUGAGUCCUGGGCAGCUUUCCAUACCUAGUACUUGCUUUAUGUGUCCUGGGGUCCUGUCUAGCAGCUCCCUGGGCCCUGUGUUUUCUGGUGUGUGUGACUCUGGAGGCUUGAACGAUUCAGGUUUGAGGUUUUGGAGUGUGGUAUCUGGAAAGCACAAGUCAAGGGUAGCUUGCUGAGUGCCAUGUGCGUUCAUGUGUGUGUACAUAUACUUGUGUCUGUGGGUGGUUCUCCCCACCUUUAGUUACUUCCAGAAGCCUUUGUUCUGGCGUCCACAGGCUCUUCUUCUAGGCUUCUUGUCAGGCAGGCAAGGAGUAAGUCAAUCGUGUCCCCUGAAGCUCCUGGAAAAUCUCAGGGAAAAGGAAGGUGGGGCCUCAAUCAGCAGGGUCUACGCCCUCCCCUGCGUAGACAAAAUGGAGCAUCCCAGCCUUGAAUUCUAUUUGGAUGUGACAGGCAGAGCGAAGGAGGUUAGGCUUAAAAGCAAUCACAAAAGAGUAUGAAGUUCAAAACUGUCGCAAAAGUUUAGAAUGGAAAUGCAGAGUUAGGAAUGGCCAAGGAAGGAGCAUGCUGGUUUAUCUCCACUAUUGACUCCACUGGAUUGAGAAUUACCUAGGAGGCAUAUUGUUAGGGUGCUUCCCGAGAGAUUCAACUGAGAAAGGAAGACCUACUCUGAAUGUGGGUGCCACCACCCCAUGAACUGUGAUCCUAAAAUGUGGAAAAAGAAAAAAAAAAAAAGAGCAAACUGAGGACUAGCAUUCAUCUCUCUCAUCUUCCUGAGUAAGGACACAAUGUAACCAGCUACUCAUACUCCAUACCUUCCCCCAGCAAUGGACCACAGUCCUCUAGACUGAGCCAGAACAAAUCCUUCCUUCAUUAAGGUCUGGUCAGGUCACACACUGAGAGUAGAGGGGGAGAGAGAGAGGACAUUAGUUCCAAACUGCCACACAACCACUAUAGUCCAGCUGGUGGGUACCAGAGGGGAAAAUGAUGACCUAUAUAUCAUGUCUGUUGACAAGACAGAUGGCAACCAGGAGAAGCCACCUGCAGCUGGCUUUGCGGAAAAUCUGGCACCAGAGUGUGGGUAAUUCAUCUAGGGAAUCACUGAGCUGUGAACUCGCUAAACUGUGUUUGUUGGAGACCCUGUGCUCGGCUGACAUGGCGGUAUGACAGGCAACUGAGCCAGAUGGUACAAAUAGUAGCUAUGGGUCCAGGGUCUCCUGGCAGUGAAGUCUGCAGGUCUGGGAUGACUGAACUCCUGUGGGCACUUUCCUAGCUGCAGAGAGGGGUGUGUGCUCAGUGUGUGGCUUGGCCUGCAUUCCAGUGCCCACUCUGCUCUGUCCACCAAAUGUUCUGAGGGACCUGGUUCUUCUGAGCACCCUGCCUGUCAGUAUGAGGUCAGUCCUCUUUAGGAAUGGAGGUUGCUGAUGCGGGAAGGGGUUGAUAGUGUGGUAUAGAGGGUGCCAGCACUCUGGUUCCAGAUGGAUGUGGCUUUUAGUCUUGACAGUGUGGUAUAGAGCAUGCCCAAACUCUGGCUUUUAGUCUUGACUCCACUCCUGACCGGGGUUUGGGGGCAGACAGGUGAUAACUCAGACAUCCUAGCCCUCAGCUACCUCUGUUGCCAAAUGGGGGUGUGUGCCUCGUGGAAUGGCUUCAAGGGUCACACGGGCUAAUAGAAAGAGAAGACACCUGGUACGCGCUUGUGGAACAACUUCCUGACGUCGGGCAAGCAUGCACAGUGAAUCUUCCAUAGCCCGCCCUCAUCAUACACAAGCUGGAUGGUGGCCCGGCCAGUGCUCUUUAUAUCCAGAAGGGGCUGUAGCUCUUAGACCUUAGGACCUAUCUUUUAAAUCCACCCUUUUCUACUCCUGGAAUGCGCUUCCUUUUACUUCCCUCAGACCAGACUGUGCGAGUCCCAGCUGCUCGCCAUUGUGGACGCUGGCCCUUCCACACAGAAUUGUAUUAGAGGUUUCCAUUUCCUGAAUCCCUGCCUGUUUCUAAUUACUGUACCUACCCAUAAUUAGAUGAAUGUGAACUGAAAGAAUGGGAGCCACCUGGCCUCGCUGGGUUGGCGUGGAAACUUUCAACCUCCUUAACAAAUAUUUUGGUGAUGAACUUUUGACCAUAGAUGCAUCUUUUCUCCAUGAGCAUCCUUUGCUCAAAGGCAGCAUGUGUCCAGCAGAGAGGUGGCAUUCAGGUCCUCCAUCAGACUGAAGUUAUUUCUCUGUGCCGCAUCUGCAAAGCAAGAGGUUUAGACCCCACAGCCUCUGGGGCUCUUUCAUUAUUUUAGUGAACUUGAAUGCUUGUAGGAAGAGUUUAAAUUGACCAGAUCUAGAGUUAGCUGCCAGGCAGAGUGGCAGGCUUUCAGUGCCCUUAGGUUUUGAAGGUUGUUUCUCUGUGGCCCUUCAGGAAGGAGAGUGUUGAGCAGUGACUGGCUGGAUUGGUCGUUUGCAUGAAAGGAUAUUUCCAUUUCCAAGGUUUUCUGAUUAGGGCUUUAUCACAUCUUUUAAAGUUGUCCUGAGUCUGGUUAUCUGGAGAGCUUUUCAGCAUUUGAUGUUCAGGUUAUACCUUGGAAUAAUUGCAAGGGAAUUCUGGGGAGUAGAGGGUGAGGCAUCAGUGCCCUGUAAAGAUCACGCAUGUGAUCCAGUGUGAGGGCAAUAUGGAUGAUCAGCUACAGAACAGCAUGUCCCAAAUAUCCCAGAGUGCAGGUAUGGCCAGGAAUCCUGGGAAGGUGCAUGCUGACUCAGCUUGAAUUGGCAAUCAGUUCAAUGACAGUCUCAUCCCAAACAGUGACUUUUAACUUUUUAAACUUGGGUGUACUGAUAAAUAUCAUAUACUAAAUAAAUCACAGAGGUGAGCAUUCGGUAGCAUUCUUCAAAACAUGCAUGCUUCAAUGCUGCUUCUAAGAACUCCAUCAUCUAGCAAGUGGCUUCUCUAAUGUCUUAUAGUGCAUGUGAUUCAUACAAAUCUCAGGGUCGGGGAGGGGAGGCUGCUAGAAAGGUGAACAGUCGUCAUGGCCACAUCCAUGGUGAGAGCACGUUUGCACAUCAGCAGCUGCAGGUUGCGCAUGCUCAACAUACUCAUCUGUUCUUGGUUUUACAACCUCAGACAUUUCCCUAUAGUCGGAUCUCCAGACUAGUGUGCAAAAUUAAUCUAGAUCUUCCCUGGACCUGGUCACAGACUGUAGUUUGCCCUUCCCAAUUCCCAUUUUUCUUAUUGUUUAGAAAAAUGAGUGCCUGCUUAAGUAGGGUCUUGGACUGACCCUCUCUGAUUGGUAGAACUUGAAUGGUACUUUUUGUUUCUUUCUUUCUGAAAUCCCAAAAAUAUGAGCAUAUUCCAUCCACCAUUUUUUUUCUUUUUCUUUCUUUUUUUUGUUUCUCUGUGUAGUUUUGGUGCCUGUCCUGGAACUCACUUUGUAGACCAGGCUGGCCUUGAAUUCACUGAGAUCCACCUGUCUCUGCCUCCCGAGUGCUGGGAUUAAAGGCCACCGCCGCCCAGCCCAUCUAUCAUCUUAUAUUGACUGCAUGAUUAAUGAUCCCCUCUAGCCACUGAUGGAUCUUUUAAGUGCUACUGAUAUUAAAGGGGUCCAAUAGAUCCUAUGGUUUUAUAUUGGUAAAUUCUCAGAAGACAGUUUUUCAUUUCAAUGUAGGGGGGAAAACACAUCUCAGAACUUUAGGCAUCAAAAAGCCAUGAGAUCAUUAGCCAACAGUGAAAUUCUCUUCGACACCACAAUGAGGUCCCACUUCAUUCACACUGGCAUAGUUCACAACAGAAAGAUGGAUAGUCCCCAGUGUUGAAGGUGGAGAGAAAAUACAAACCCCACACAUUUCUUGAAGGAAUUCCAAAGGGUUCAGUGUUUUGGGAAACAGUCUUGUAGUUCCUCAAAAGGUUAAGUGAUAGCAGGGCGCUGACAUGAGAGCAGAUGGACGGGAUAGGAGAGUCUAGCAUACUAUGAACACAUUUAUAGUCAGUAGAUCUAGUGGAUAUCAAGAACAUGCUUGGAGAAAGGACCACUUCACCAACAAGUGGUACUGGGAAAACUGAGUCAAAGGCAAGCUGUGCACAGGCACACCAGGAAGCUAGGGUACUUUUGUCCAUGGCUUUUCCCUGUCUCUGCAUUUGGUGCGUACUGCUCCCUUAUUCACAGUGGAUAUACCUCUGCUCAGAUGCUCUGUGGGAACCUGAUAGUCCAUGAAUUCAAAGAUGAUCUCAUGGCCUCUCCCUUCCCUUAAUCUUGCUUCCCCUUCUGUAUGAUUUUCCUAGAGUCUGGCAUCCCUCAGACUCCUAAAUCAGAAAUCUUGCUCCCCACCAUACCUCCAUCCCUCUCUUCAGGAUGAGUCAUCACAAUCUGUAGAGUUCAUUGGGUUUGUCCUUUCCCUCCCUCAGUGCUGUAAGAAGGAGGAUUUAUCCCAUGUGAAUGCAACAACCCAGUCUUUCUGGCUUCCUCUGUCACCCAAUCCUCUGGAUAAUGAAGGAUAUGGUUACCUUUCCUAGAAUUUGACAAUUAACCUAAAAUUUUUCUUUCAGGAUAAAGAUAACUUCGCCCAUACCCAGCAGGAAGCAAUUUUAAGAAUACGACGCCCACAUUCCCAAAGAGGUGGUGUGGGGCGGGUGGUUUUUUGGUCUUUUUAAUGGGUUUUGGGUCUGGGAUAAUUUUCAUUGUUUAGGGGAGUUGGUUACAAGUUGUUGUCAAGGGUUAGGAAAAAGGCUAAGCAAAAGAGAUUAGAUUUAAGGUUCUUGUUUAAAAAAAAAAAAGAAAGAAGAAGAAAAAGACAAUUACUAGUUUUAAAUACUUUACAUUGGAUUGGAUUGUUUUAUAUUGUAUACAAAUUAUAUAUAUUGAAAUUGAUAUUGUUAGAAAAUGCUAUAUGUAUAUCUCUAAUUGUACUUAUACCAUUCAUUUAACAAUGCAAUUUUCUGAUCCUUGAAUGUUAUUAUUACCAACUAUUAGGAUAUAAAGAAAUGAAAGUUAGUAGUUAGACAUUCCAAUAGAACUUGUAGUCAUAUUAGAUAUGUUUUAAAAAUUGAGCAGAUAUAUUUUAGACAGGUCAUCUUCAAACCCUUCAGAGAUCUACAGAAUAUGGCAUUUAAAAUGUUUUAAUAACUUAGAAAAUUUUUCUUUUUUGUUAUGAUUAUGAGACAUGUCGGCUCCUGGCAGUACCAAUCUACUUCAGGGAAAAUAUGGGCAUUGAAGAAACUGUGUAUGGAGUUAACUUUCAUUGUGGCAAAAGUUAGCCACUGGACAACAAAGUAUCCUUGAAUCAACUGCUGACAAAAUGGACAGACAGGACAUGAAACAAAGGACUACUGAUUCUUGCCAAAACAAGUGUGGUUAUGGCUUUAUCAAAAGGCAUCUUCUGAGGCCAGGACAAUAUGGCACCAUCCCUGAAGUGGCCUUCGCAAUUCGGAAAAGGUACAGUGCCCUUUUCUUCGAAGGCAGCUGAACAGGCAGUGGGCCGAUGGCUUCUGAUGUGCAAUGGAACAGCAGCUGAAACAGUUAUUCUUGAAGAGUAACUAAGCUCACGCCUUGCAAUAGUAAACUGGCAUUUGACAGAGGGAUGUGGAGAAGAACGGGAUGCUAAGAUGAAGCCAUAUAUACACAGCCAAGAAGAAUGGACAGCUGAAUUAAAAAAUCAACAACAAUUUCCAGAAUUUAAAAUCCUGAAUCAUGACAUGACACUAGUGGAAUUCAGGUGUUUCUGGUACAUGGACUAUUCUCACCCAAUGUGAGGUUGAACUGUUGACCUUGUGUACAUCCUACUUCACAAAUGACUCUGUCAGAUAUGCUAAGCCUAUAGGCUGAAGAUGAUGCCCCAAUACUGUGGAGAAACCUCAGGUGACUGUCCAGGCAGCUGGCUGUUUCUGUCAACUCACAAAUUUUUUGGAAGUUGCUUGCAUGCACUUUCUGUUUUUAUUUUUGUUAGCUAAUAUUAUUUCCUUCUUGGGUCUCUGAGGGAGUUGAAGAUUAGGUAGUUAUAGUUGAAGGUUAGUUAGUUAUAGUUGAAGAUUAAUUAGGAUAGAAAGUGAAUUAGAUACAUUUUGGACUUAACAAAAUAGGAUAGAUAAUGAAAUUUUCUCUGAAUUUGUCAAAUACAAAUGGACUAGACAUUGUUUAGACAUUUAUUACUUGUAUAUAUUGUAUAUAGUCAUUGUACUUUUGUAUAUAGUUUUUCUUUUGUUAGUUAUAACCUUUUUCUUUUUUUUCCUUUUUAUUAAAAUAGAAAAGGGGAAAUGUGGUGGUAUUUUACUUGUACUGAAAUGUGAUUUUAAUUGUAUGUUAAUAAAUAAAGUUGUCUGGGGGUCAGAGCUAUUAGAGUCAUAGCAAGUGCAUGGCGGCGGUGGCGCACGCCUUUAAGGACCUGGAGGGCGGUACAUUCAGGCAGUGACGAGGCAGUGACAUGUUUGGGUUUACAACCAAUGACAAGGCAGAACAGGAAGACUUUAAAGACAGACACACAGGAAGUAGGUCCUUUUCGGAGAGCUCUCUUGGCUGGAGAGGAUCCCUGAAUCAGGAAGGGUGAGGCUCUUAGCUCUGACCU